GUCCACGCCGUAAACGAUGAUAACUAGCUGUUCGGGUUCAUAGAACUUGAGUGGCGCAGCUAACGCAUUAAGUUAUCCGCCUGGGGAGUACGGUCGCAAGAUUAAAACUCAAAGGAAUUGACGGGGGCCUGCACAAGCGGUGGAGCAUGUGGUUUAAUUCGAAGCAACGCGCAGAACCUUACCAGCCUUUGACAUCCUCUGACGAAUCAGGAGACUGAUUUUUUCCUUCGGGACAGAGUGACAGGUGCUGCAUGGCUGUCGU
rnacentral:rRNA from 1 species